rnacentral:rRNA from 1 species
UUGCCUACGGGAGGCAGCAGUGGGGAAUAUUGCACAAUGGGGGAAACCCUGAUGCAGCGACGCCGCGUGAGUGAAGAAGUAUUUCGGUAUGUAAAGCUCUAUCAGCAGGGAAGAAAAAAGACGGUACCUGACUAAGAAGCCCCGGCUAACUACGUGCCAGCAGCCGCGGUAAUACGUAGGGGGCAAGCGUUGUCCGGAUUUACUGGGUGUAAAGGGCGUGCAGCCGGAGAGGCAAGUCAGAUGUGAAAUCCGCGGGCUCAACUCGCGAACUGCAUUUGAAACUGCUUCCCUUGAGUAUCGGAGAG